rnacentral:rRNA from 1 species
GGGCCCGCACAAGCGGUGGAGCAUGUGGCUUAAUUCGAGGCAACGCGAAGAACCUUACCUGGUCUUGACAUGCCCGUCAUAGUUUUCCGAAAGGAAUUCGUCAGUUCGGCUGGACGGUGCACAGGUGCUGCAUGGCUGUCGUCAGCUCGUGUCGUGAGAUGUUCGGUUAAGUCCGGCAACGAGCGCAACCCUCGUUUCCAGUUGCCAGCGGGUAAUGCCGGGGACUCUGGAAAGACAAACCUCUUGUUGAGGUGGGAAGGUGGGGACGACGUCAAGUCAGUAUGGCCCUUACGACCAGGGCUGCACACGUGCUACAAUGCCCGGCACAAUGGGAUGCAAUAUCGCGAGAUUGAGCAAAUCCACAAAACCGGGCCCAGUUCGGAUUGGAGUCUGCAACUCGACUCCAUGAAGUUGGAAUCGCUAGUAA